UCCGAGUUGACCCCGGCAGUCCCCCUAGAGUGCCCACCAUGACGUGAUGGCAACUAAGAGUAAAGGUUGCGCUCGUUGCGGGACUUAACCCAACACUUCACAGCACGAGCUGACGACAGCCAUGCAGCACCUGUGCAAAGGUCCCUUGCGGGAAGACCCACUUUCAUGGGCUGUCCUAAGCAUGUCAAGCCUGGGUAAGGUUCUUCGCGUAGCCUCGAAUUAAACCACAUGCUCCACCGCUUGUGCGGGUCCCCGUCAAUUUCUUUGAGUUUCAGUCUUGCGACCGUACUCCCCAGGUGGUGGAUUUAAUGCGUUAGCGUCGGCGCCGGAGGGAUCGACACCCCCGACACCUAAUCCACAUCGUUUACGGCAAGGACUAC
rnacentral:misc_RNA from 1 species